rnacentral:lncRNA from 1 species
AUGGUCCUUGUACGAACGCACGUGGCUCACAGGACGACUCGGGAAUUUGUCUUCGUGAGAAGGGAGGUGGCGCACUUGGACUUUUUGCCCGCAGAUGGAUCCGUUCCGUGGCUUUCAGAAAUGUUUCGAUCACUGAACCAAGCACGAAUUGCGGCUGGACUCCCUCCACAAACGGAAAAUCCUCGUUUCUCGCCGACUCCGUCCCCGGUAGGAAGCCCCCAACGGGACCAAAUACAUCCAAAGGAUGAAGAGGCUCCGGACACUGAUGACGAGAAUGAAACCGAUUCAACUUGCACGAUUUGCGAGGAAAGGAAGAUCAAGUUGGCGCUGAUACCAUGCAAUCAUGAAGUUUGCUAUACUUGCACCCAAACCAUGAGCGGAUGGAGCAUUGAUGUCCAGCCUAUACAACCUUUCAAGUGCCCCUUCUGUCGUCGAAAAGUGACCGGCUACACUCCGAAGUUCUACUCCGAUGGACCCGCCACUAAACCUGCUGAUGCUGUCGUUCCUCAGACGUAAGGACCUAUCUCAACUUUCACGUGAUCCCUGUUCUCCGUAUAGCUCU